AAAUAACCCAUUUAACGCAUUCUUCAUCUCCACCCAUUCUCAAACGAAACUAAAUUAGGGCUAAAGAACUUCCAAUCGAAUUUCUUCUUGACCCACUUAAAGUUAUUCAUCUCAAAGAAAAUGCGAUUGUGGUUUGGUUGCCAAAAUUCUGACUUCGAGUAUUAUAUCUAAUCGGUGAAGUAGAUUCUACAGAUGUCCUCAUCCGGAUAUCAAGCUUUUCCCGAGAUAGCUUACCUACGUAGUUUAGAGUUGUCAUUGAAAGAUGUCAAGAUUGAAAUGGUUAAUUUGAAGCUUGAAAUGGAGAACUUGAAGAUUGCAAUGGAAAAUUUGAAGAUUGAAAGUUAGAAUUUGAAGAUUGAAGAAGGUCAUUUGUCGGAAAAAUUGCUACAUUGGAGGCAACUAAUGAUUUGAAAGUGGAAAAAGUUAGAACAUUUGAAGAAAAGUAUUGUAAGAUGAAAUAUAAAUUUAUGAUUUCAUAAUUUUUUUUGUUGGAUUUGUAGUUGCAUUGAUGAGAAAGUGAAGACAAAAUUUGGUUUUGUUAUGAAUGUAAGUUGUUAAGUAGAUGAAGAAUUGUUAUUUUAAUUUAGUUUUGUAAUGAAUGUACUAGUCACUUAUGUAUUGAUGUGAAACUAUUUUAGUGUUUAUGAAGUAAUGUUUAGUAGUUGAA